rnacentral:sRNA from 1 species
UUAACUUACACUUGGACCUAGGCCUUCGA